rnacentral:rRNA from 1 species
GAUGAACGCUGGCGGUCUGCUUAACACAUGCAAGUCGAACGGAAGUAGCAAUACUUUAGUGGCGGACGGGUGAGUAACACGUAAGAAUCUGCCUCCAGGACGGGAAAAACAGUUGGAAACGACUGCUAAUUCCCGAUCAGCCGAAAGGUAAAAAGAGUAUCGCCUGGAGAUGAGCUUGCGGCUGAUUAGCUAGUUGGUAGUGUAAGGGACUACCAAGGCGACGAUCAGUAGCUGGUCUGAGAGGAUGAGCAGCCACACUGGGACUGAGACACGGCCCAGACUCCUACGGGGGGCAGCAGUGGGGAAUUUUCCGCAAUGGGCGCAAGCCUGACGGAGCAAGACCGCGCGGGGGAGGAAGGUUCUUGGAUUGUCAACCCCUUUUCUCAGGGAAGAAGCAAGUGACGGUACCUGAGGAAUCAGCAUCGGCUAACUCCGUGCCAGCCGCCGCUGUAAUAC